GACAGAGGGUGCAAACGUUGCUCGGAAUUACUGGGCGUAAAGGGCGUGUAGGCGGGAAGGCAAGUCGGGCGUGAAAGCCCCAGGCUCAACCUGGGAACUGCACUCGAAACUGCCUUUCUUGAGUGCCGGAGAGGAAAGCGGAAUUCCUGGUGUAGAGGUGAAAUUCGUAGAUAUCAGGAGGAACACCAGUGGCGAAGGCGGCUUUCUGGACGGUAACUGACGCUGAGGCACGAAAGCGUGGGGAGCAAACAGG
rnacentral:rRNA from 1 species